UGCAUUAUUUUUUUUGGAUGUUAUCAUAUUUUGCAAAUGUGUUAUUUUUGUGGCCACAUUUUGCACAUGUGUUAGUUUUGUUAUCACAUUUUGCAUAUGUGUUAGUUUGCUUGCUGCAUAUCAAUCUUUACUAUUUUUUAUUUUUAUUUUUUUAUGUUAUCACAUUUUGCACAUGUGUUUGUUUGCUACUUUUCUUUUACUUUUAGAACUUAUGACAUUUUACAAAUGUGGAUGUCAGUGCUUA
rnacentral:lncRNA from 1 species